GGAAGAGGAGUGGAGGAGGAGACAGGGGAAUGGGACAUAAAGCAGAGCUCUAAGGCAUCCUGCUGCUCCAAGCCAUCUCCAUUUGUGCAUACAUCCAGCAAACUUUGUGCCACUGCCAUUCAUUGGUGCCACUCAGAUCUUGAGACCACAACAGUUGGACAAAGCACCCCAGCGCCCCCCACACACACACCAAAAAAGAGUGCAUCACCAUCCUGUGUAUGUGUGCUACUCUCUGAAAGUUCACACACGCAAGCAAGCCCCAGCGGUGCAGCACUGUGGUGCUUUGGUCUUGUGAGAGCCACAAGAGCUUGGUGAGAAUAAUCUUAUCAGCUG